GGCUUUGGCCAUCUUACUCAUUCACUUGGGAGAUUAUAGUAGCAAAUUUGCAAUAUUUUUGAGGCUGUGAAUGGUUCAGUAAUAUAUUUGGCUUCUGAUUUUAUAUUUGCAUUAAAUAUUAUGCAUUUUGAUGAUGAUGAUGAUGAUGAUGAUGAUGAUGAUGAUGAUGAUGAUGCUUGAGGUAACAAAAACUUUGCAUAAAGUUUAUUUAUUGAUGUGCUUGAAGGAUGAAGCACCCCAUCUUGUCAACCCACUUGUG
rnacentral:lncRNA from 1 species